rnacentral:rRNA from 1 species
UACGGAGGGGGCUAGCGUCGUUCGGAAUUACUGGGCGUAAAGCGCACGUAGGCGGCUUUGUAAGUUAGAGGUGAAAGCCCAGGGCUUAACCCUGGAAUUGCCUUUAAGACUGCAUCGCUCGAAUUGUGGAGAGGUGAGUGGAAUUCCGAGUGUAGAGGUGAAAUUCGUAGAUAUUCGGAAGAACACCAGUGGCGAAGGCGACUCACUGGACACAUAUUGACGCUGAGGUGCGAAAGCGUGGGGAGCAAACAGG